CGGUGCUCCGAGAAACAGAGAAUUGGGCGAAGUUCCUGUCCUGUGGAGCUUACAGUUGGAAAAAAUCCUCUACACACAAACAAGGCUGGCAGAAUAGCAGUUGAUCCGCAGUGGGAGCCCAAAGAGUGAAGGGAGCACAAAUAGAAAGACAUUCUAAAAAUGGCUGUAUGGUAUUUAGAGAUCUGGGUACCAGCUGCAGUGCGCACAUAUUUGCAGAAGCUUCUGUUCAGCUUAGAAUGGGCUGUGGGCUCAGCAUGCUUAAUCAAAGCGGUGGCUCAGAAGUAGACUGUUCAGUCUCCAGCGAAGCAGAUGAGAAGUGUAAUUGGUCUCAACCAGAUGAACCAGGUACUCUUCGAUCUCUUGAGUCCUCUACUGAUCUUGCAAUGAUACUGUAAAUCCACCUCCCAUCUAGUGGCCACUUCCAAACCAGGGCUGAACAUGCAAUGCCAAAAGGAGAUGACAGAAUGGUCUGGGAGACAGACACGCAGGAUUUCCUCCCUGCUGCCCACUCAGCCCCUAACAAUCACUUUGUUUUCCUGGAUAUAAUUUUAGAAAGAACUGGAAGGAGGGAAACCUUUCCUGCAACUUCAAUUUCUGGAAUGAAAUAAUUUCUGGAUCUCAUUUCUGGAACAACAGUUCUGCUUGCUAAGAGGUGAACACAAGGGAUUUAAGGGAAGGAACUGAGCUCUGAUACUCUGUCCAGACACUCCUGCAACUGCUUCUGCUGUUCGUCUCCCUCACCCUGCACAGGAGACAUUGGGAGGGGCUGAAGACACAGUAGGAAGAGCCUGAACAUAUUGCGCAAAGUAACACAUCCUUCAGUUGCUCAAAGGGACACUGAGGAAUGCCACAGUGCUGGAAUGCCAUGGAUCUGUGGAAAGACCUUCUGGAAAGAAGUUGAGGGAAGCUGAGAUAUCAGGCAGUCUGGAAGAUGGGAUACCAAGGAAUUUUGCAAGAGGAGGGCUUGGGCUGAGUGAGAUGCCUGGCAAGAGGAUGAAUUUGCUGGAAAUUCAGGAGAAGACGUAUGCACAAUAUUCAGUUCCUUUGUGUUUUAGUCCAAAAUCAUCCCGUGUUUUCCGUUUUUCAGAAAGCCCUAGUUCUCAUGUCAUCUGGUUAUGUGAGGCUUUCGGCCUUCAAUUAAAAAUAAUUCUACGGGUUCUUCAGGUCAUAGAGAAAAGCUUUGCACAGAUAGUCCAGUUUGGAAGGCUGAAAGCCUAGAGUGCAAACUGCAUCCCUUUGGGGUACUGUGUGGCUUUCCUAGUGGUAUUCACUGUAUUACUUUUUUAGAAGUCACCAAAAGCCAGUCUGAGCUGCAACAUGUAUUUGGGUUUUUAGGCCAUGCAUUCUACCUAAAAUGUGGUAGAUCUGUGGGAGGAAGAUGGAACAGCCCAGCAAUGGCAUAAUUUUGACACAUGGAAGACAGUGAUUCAGCUAUUUCACAGGUACAUGGACUCCUGCAAAUAUGCAGCUCAAAAAUCUUCACAGUGUUUCAAGAAGCAGUUUGAUAGUCUCAGUCCCCUUAUCAUCAAGCCAACUGGUCAUUUUGUUUUGCCAUAUAAGCAGAGGGCUCAAGGAACAGGUGAGCACUUGGUUGGCCUGAGGAAAUAUAACUGUCUUCUAAGGAAGAAACAUUGUGCGUGAAGCUUUAAUGGAUGUUUCUUGAUCUGGACUUGUUCUGUGAAUGAGGAGAGGACCUCAGUCUCUAAGGAUGCUAAUCUGGCACUUCUUGCUGACCUUAAAUUGACCUACGUAAUUUAAACCAAACCGAUAUACAAGUGACACAAUUUCUGCUGAGAAAGUGCAGUAUGUGCCAACUCUUUUAAUAUUACAUUUUUUUUCCUGUCUGUUUAAUCUAGUAUCUGAUGUGAACGGAGGGAAAAGAUGAUGUACAACAUAUUCCUUGCACCAAAGUCUUAGAAAAGAAAAUGUAAAUGCAUGAGUAUGACACAAACUCCCCUUCUGUUAACACACACUCACACAGACUUGUUCAAGUUGCCAAAAGCAUAGUUAGCCAACCUACAGCGUGUAUACAUGUAAUUUACUGAAGGGAGGGGACUGGUCUAAUUUAUGCACUUGGCCCUCAGACCGUGGUUUACCUCAAUACUUUUCAAUGCGCAAAUUCUGUAAAUCUUAUUGGGAGAAAGAAUGUCAGCUCACGCCAGGCUCUGGACAUGCUGAAAAUGUCGCUCGAACAGAUGAUGACUUGUGUUUAAUUUGCUGUUGUGGAUGGGCCUGAACCAAACUCUCUUGUUCCAAACAUCUCUAAAUUUAGGAGGUUUUGGCAUCCCAGUCCAGAUAUGAGUCAAUAGUUCUCUGUGUUCCAAAGAGUAAGUAUUAGGUUGCAAAGGUGGGAGUCGUUAUGUAAAUGGCGUAAUACAAAGGCAUAUCUAUAUUAAUAUUUUUGUUAUGCCUUGGAGCUAGAGGUUUGCCAAGGCUUAAGUGGACUCAGGAUGAGCUGGACAUAUCCAAUUAAUAUAAGUAAUGUGACUUUUCAUGAACAAAUGUGACUUCUUGGUGCACAUUACAGCUGUCGAAUGUUCCAGUUUUGCUACAUCUGGUCCUCAGAGGUUUAGAAAUUUGUAUUCCAGUGUUAAAGCCCACUCUUAUUUCUGAUUUUAUUUGGUACUACAUAAAUGGGUUCUGAUUUUC